UACGUAUGGGGCAAGCGUUAUCCGGAUUUACUGGGUGUAAAGGGAGCGUAGGCGGCAGGGCAAGCCUGAUGUGAAAGCCCGGGGCUCAACCCCGGGACUGCAUUGGGAACUGCCCUGCUGGAGUGCCGGAGGGGCAGGCGGAAUUCCUAGUGUAGCGGUGAAAUGCGUAGAUAUUAGGAGGAACACCAGUGGCGAAGGCGGCCUGCUGGACGGUGACUGACGCUGAAGCUCGAAAGCGUGGGGAGCAAACAGG
rnacentral:rRNA from 1 species